UGACCUCAGAUCAGACAAGGAUACCCGCUGAACUUAAGCAUAUCAAUAAAGCGGAGGAAAAGAAACCAACAGGGAUUGCCUCAGUAACGGCNAGUAAUCGAGUUGUAAUUUGAAGAGGAAUCUUCCCGCACGGACCAUGAUCUAUGUUCCUUGGAACAGGACGUCGUAAGGGUGAGAAUCCCGUUCACGGUUGAUGGUCUCGAGUCAUGUGAAGUUCCCUCGAAGAGUCGAGUUGUUUGGGAAUGCAGCUCUAAAAGGGUGGUAAAUUUCAUCUAAAGCUAAAUACCGGCGAGAGACCGAUAGCGCACAAGUAGAGUGAUCGAAAGAUGAAAAGCACUUUGAAAAGAGAGUUAAACAGUACGUGAAAUUGUUGAAAGGGAAGCGCUUGCGACCAGACUCGCCUUUGAUCGAUCAACGUUCCUUCUGGUUCGUGCACUCGGUCUUUGGCGGGCCAGCAUUGGUUUGGGCGGAGGGACAAAGGCGUCGGGAAUGUGGCUGCCCUCGGGCAGUGUUAUAGCCCUUCGUGUAAUGCCUCCUGCCCGGACCGAGGACCGCGCUUCGGCUAGGAUGCUGGCGUAAUGGUCGUAAGCGACCCGUCUUGAAACACGGACCAAGGAGUCUAACAUCUAUGCGAGUGUUUGGGUGUCAAACCCAUACGCGUAAUGAAAGUGAACGGAGGUGGGAGCCCGCAAGGGUGCACCAUCGACCGAUCCUGAUGUCUUCGGAUGGAUUUGAGUAGGAGCAUAGCUGUUGGGACCCGAAAGAUGGUGAACUAUGCCUGAAUAGGGUGAAGCCAGAGGAAAACUCUGGUGGAGGCUCGCA
rnacentral:rRNA from 2 species